CCUACGGGAGGCAGCAGGGAGGAAUAUUGGGCAAUGGGCGAGAGCCUGAACCAGCCAAGUCGCGGGAAGGAUGACGGCCCUACGGGUUGUAAACUUCGGUUGUCAGGGAGCAAGUGGGUCCACGCGUGGGCUUAGCGAGAGGACCUGAAGAAAAAGCACCGGCUAACUCCGUGCCAGCAGCCGCGGUAAUACGGAGGAUGCGAGCGUGAGCCGGAUUUAUUGGGUUGAAAGGGGGCGUAGGCGGAAUAUCAAGUCAGCGGUAAAAAUUCGGGGCUCAACCCCGUCGUGCCGUUGAAACUGCUGUUCUUGAGUGGGCGAGAAGUAUGCGGAAUGCGUGGUGUAGCGGUGAACUGCCUAGAUAUCACGCAGAACUCCGAUUGCGAAGGCAGCAUACCGGCGCCCAACUGACGCUGAGGCACGAAAGCGUGGGUAUCGAACAGGAUUAGAUCCCCGUGUAGUC
rnacentral:rRNA from 1 species